rnacentral:rRNA from 1 species
UGAGAGUUUGAUCCUGGCUCAGGAUGAACGCUGGCGGCGUGUCUAAGGCAUGCAAGUCGAACGCUCCCCGCAGCAAUGCGGGGGGAGUGGCAAACGGGAGAGUAACACAUUGAUAACUUACCCCGAGGUCGUGAAUAAUCCUGCGAAAGCGGGCCUAAUACACGAUGAAAGUGGGGGGCCAAAAGGCAUUCCCACUUAAA